GUAGGAGCAGAGCAGCAGGAGCUAGAAUACGGUAAGGACUAUCCCCUCCAGGGAAAACCAUCUCCAGACAUCAAUAGCAGGCGGCCAACACACCCAUCAUCAAGGCAAACUUCUGUUGGUGAAGACCAGAGAUUUUGGUCUAAGCAAGUUGGCCGCCUGAGAUGAGAAUACACUAAGAUGAGGAAGAUGCUGCUGUAAUUAAGGCAACACGGAACCAGAUAUGCAGUGGCCACAAGCUGGGCUAUGGAUGUCCUUCCCCACUAGUGAAUAUUCAGUCUCUUUGGAAAGAAGUGGUUCCUCCUCUGCAGAGGAAAGUGUCACAACACAGGGCCUACGAGGGGGUCCAGCUGCUAUAACCUGAGAGUUACAACCCUAGCGCGUGGAUGAAGAGUUUUUCCGUCACUUCUUUGAGAAGCCACUUUGCCUUCGUGAUCCAUCUCCUUCCUCUGGUCUUUACUCAAAUUGCGUUUUCCAGCAUUGUUUGUUCUUUGUUUUGCGGAGAGCUUCUCCUGCUGCUUUUGUGUUGCAGCUCCUCCAUCCGCACCAGCCUUGUCCCUAACGAGGGGCUGUGGAGUGACUCUGCCUCAUUUAAUAAGACCCAAGAGAGACAAGAGGGAAGGAGAGAAAGGCUUCUUGUGCACACAGAAGGGAAGUCAUGCUGGAGCUGCAUGGCAGGAACAAAGAAGUGAUUCAUAACUGAGGCUGAGGAAGAGUGUGUGAAGGGAGAGGAAGGCAGGUAUUUUUCUUACUUGUUAAAGUGAGGAGUUAAUUUAAGUCAUUGAAAUCAAUUAUUCAUUUAACUUAUUUAUAUAACUUGUUAUUUUUUAAUGUUAAUGUGUUCAAUAACACUCCAGAAAUGGGCUAAAGGUCUUACAGCAAGCAGCUGCAGAGGCUGGAUACCCAAAACUUUUGUCACGUGCUGGCUUAGGCAGGUGGUGAGUGCUGUGGUCCCUGGAAGCCUAUAGGCAGGCUCUGGUGCCUGCACAGCCUCCUAGGGUGUUCAGAAGGCUGUGUUUAUGAGUUUUUUUAAGUAGCAAAAUUUCUUGUCCUCCCAUCACUGACAUUGGGAUGGAAGAGGAGAGGUUUAUUGGCAGUCAGUAGGGGUAAUGAAAAAUCAGAAUGAUGGCGAUUUAAGAAUCGGUUUUAUGGAAAGACAAAAAGACAUGGUAGCAUGUGCAUGCAUCAAGUGGUUAGAGGCAAAGGGCUUUACAUUGUGCUUGGUGUGAUGGGUUCGAUGUGCUUCAUAAAAAAGGUCGGUAUCAUUAUCUGCAUUAGCCAAAUAGGGAAACCGAGUCAGAGUAUGUGAUUUCCUUGCAUUUAACACUAAGUCAGUGCCAAUCACAUGAACUUACUUACACAGCAUGAGGUGCAUAGCAUGGUGAAGGACUGUCAAGUACAUAAUAUGUGCAAAUUUCUCAUAUCAGGAAUCAUCUGGACAGCACAGAGAAACAAUACUCACUUUAAUCAAAUAAAUGAGCUAAAAAUACAGUAGUUAUUAAAUGCUCCUUAAUGUUAUCUCCUGGACAAAAUUGUGCUAUUCUGUAAGAAGGAAACCACUUCUCUCCAGUCUAUUACACUUCUUUGUGUUGCUGCAGCAGAGUGGAGAAAAAACUAUCUUUCAAACGUUGCCAUCUGCAGCAAGGUUUUAAAUGGUCUCUUACAAACAUUCAUUGGGAGGUAAGCAGCUACAUGGGCAUCAGUCCUCUUACGAGGGAACGACUGAUAAACGUGUCAGGACAAGCUGAGUGGAGUGAUGCCCCAGCACCUGCCCCACUGCCAAGCCAAAAUAAUGAUUUAGAUUGCCAACAGUAUCAGCAAGGUAGCAAAUAAUUUUGGGAGACCCUUAGGUAGGCUACAUUUUUCCUGAAUGGAAAAAGGGGAGCAUUUAAACUACUUGUACGUGAAUUUGGUGUUAAAUUAAAUGUAGGUAGUCAGGAAAGGAAUAAGACAUCAUUGCCAACAGAACAUCUAUUCACCAAGAAGCAAUAGCCAGGGAAGCCAGCAGAAUGUUUGCUUGCAUUAGGAAAGGGCUAGCUGAUAGUACAAUAUUGUUUUGUAGCUUUUAUAUGAAGUGACACCUGGACAUGGACGCUUUGCUCAGUUUUGCUCUCCAGCCUUAAAGAAGGAUAGGGCAGAAAUAAAAAAAGGUCUAGGGAAGGCACUGAAAAUGAUGAACAGAAUGGAAAACUGCAGUGUGUGGAGAGAUUAAAAGAUUAGAACCAUAUAUCCUAGAUGUUAGAGGAAUAAGG
ensembl:lncRNA